UUUCCGUAGGUGAACCUGCGGAAGGAUCAUUACAGAGUUCUUGCCCUCACGGGUAGAUCUCCCACCCUUGAAUAUUUAUACCUUAGUUGCUUUGGCAGGCCGUGGAAACACCAUGGGCUCCGGCUUAUGCGUGCCUGCCAGAGGAAACAAACUCUGUUUUUAGUGAUGUCUGAGUACUAUAUAAUAGUUAAAACUUUCAACAACGGAUCUCUUGGUUCUG
rnacentral:misc_RNA from 1 species